rnacentral:misc_RNA from 1 species
CCAUCAUACAAAUUAGCCGCUUAGCGGCUUCUGUUUUUAAGGUCGGACCGCGGUAAUGUUGGGUCUUGCGCAAUAGGAACUCAUGAACUCCGCCAGGUCCGGAAGGGAGCAACGGUAAGUGAUCAUUCUUAUGUGCCGCGAGGGUGCCUGAUUAUUACCGUGGCCCGACGUUAAAAACAGG